GACGAACGCUGGCGGCGUGCUUAACACAUGCAAGUCGAACGGAAAGGCCUCUUUCGGGGGGUACUCGAGUGGCGAACGGGUGAGUAACACGUGAGUAACCUGCCCUUGACUUUGGGAUAACUUCAGGAAACUGGGGCUAAUACCGGAUAGGAGCUCCUGCUGCAUGGUGGGGGUUGGAAAGUUUCGGCGGUUGGGGAUGGACUCGCGGCUUAUCAGCUUGUUGGUGGGGUAGUGGCUUACCAAGGCUUUGACGGGUAGCCGGCCUGAGAGGGUGACCGGCCACAUUGGGACUGAGAUACGGACCAGACUCCUACGGGAGGCAGCAGUGGGGAAGAUGGCACAAUGGGUGGAAGCCUGAUGCAGCAACGCCGUGUGCGGGAUGACGGCCUUCGGGUUGUAAACCGCUUUCGCUCAUGACGAAGCUUUGUGUGACGGUAGUGGGUAAAGAAGCACCGGCUAACUACGUG
rnacentral:rRNA from 1 species